rnacentral:misc_RNA from 1 species
UCUCCGUUGGUGAACCAGCGGAGGGAUCAUUGUCGAGUUUAUAACUCCCAAACCCUAUGUGAACUUACCACUUGUUGCUUCGGCGCGCGCUUCGGUGCCGCCGAGGACACUUAAACUCUUUGUUUUUAUAAGCAUUUCUGAGUGGCCGAAAGGCAAAAUACAAAUGAAUCAAAACUUUCAACAACGGAUCUCUUGGUUCUG